UGUGUUCAAACACAAGUGUCUACAGCGA
rnacentral:piRNA from 1 species